CAUCGCACACAAGACACAUACGCAACCUCUGAGGCUUCGACCUCCUUCCAGUGUCAACACCACCUCCGGCACCUCCCUUCGCCAUCGCCUCUGUUCUCUAUUCUUCCUUUAGUGUCGGCCACUGCUUUUGCUGGUACAGCUAGCGUCGUCAGCAACGAACGCCUCCAACGAGCCCACUGCAUCGUCGACUCUCUCGGCGAGUACGUCACAUUCACCGACGCCGGGGUCAGAUUCAAAAUCGGAGAGAAUCGUUCCGCCAGUGCUUGCUCAAGUUCCAGUUUCUAAUUUGACUUCUUCGUCUUCCAUGAGUUCAUCUUCGCCUGCACGCAAAAACGGCAGGAUCAGGAGUUCGUUGAUACGUAACCUGGUGAAUUAUUCUUCUCUGCUAGAAUUUAUAUGUAUACAGUCAUAAUCUGAGCGGGUAUAUAAAACUAAACUGUGGUCUAUUUCCUAAUUUUCCAUUGAAACUCAAAUUUUAUCUAUGUGAGUUAAAUGUACUGAACUUAUCACUUGAAUCCUGUUUUAAAGUCUGUAAUGUCAUGUUGUUAUUCUACAGGGAGCCCUCAGAGCAUCUAUCCCGCAUUUUAAUCUUUAGUGUAUGAUGAUGUCACGUUUAUUUAUUAAUGCCGCUUGCACUUUUAUGUGUGGUGUUUGCAUCUUAUGCAAUAACAUUAAGGAAUGAAGUCACGAAACUUAAGGUAUCAAGUUCUUUGACUCUGUACUCUUGCAAAUAGAUGAUUUUGUUAAAGCCAAUUUAUUCUCCAUAUAGGAAGAGAAUUAUGAUCUUCAUAGAACUUGUUUGAAUAAAGACAUUCCUCAUGAUGAAAGCACAUGCAUUUUCAAACAUGAAAGUGUUUGAUAUAUGUGAAGUUUGCUUCGAUUUAUGUUAUUCUAAUAUCUGAUUUAUUGAAGCAUUUUCUUGAUAUUGAUAAUGGAGAAGAAGAACCUGAUGGUUUGUUUUCCGAUUUUUGUGGAAUUUUUUGUGUUUAUUUCAAACCCUAAAUCACAACAGUUGGCUAUGAUGUUUUGGUUAUAAAUUUUCAUCCAAUAUGAAAUGCUCUUAAAGUUUGAUUGAUGAAUUGGUGUAUAGUUGUGUUUAUAUAUACAGUUAAUGAAAAUUAUUAUAUUUCUUGUCCUCAAAAACAUUUAUGGUAUAUAAUCGUGUUACGAAGAUUUGAUUAAUAGUUGAAUGUAGACUUUGAAGCACAAAAAGAGCCUAAUUGUAUCCCCUUUGGUUUGUCUAUGACAGAUAAUGUUGAAGCCAGAAGAGAAAGUGUGCAAGCCAGGGUUUUAUGUGCUACAUAUAUGGAAGUAUUCAAAUGGAAAAUGUGGUCAUUAGAUGAUUAAUCUUGAAUUUGUUUAAUUGAUCAAGUUUCAGUUGUUAUUAUGGUAUUUAGAUUAGAUUUGCAAGUAAUAGAUUCUGGUCAUUAGAUGGUUACUCUUGAAUUGGUUUAACCGAUUAACUUUUAGUUGUGAUUAUGGUUUUUAGAUUAGCAAUAUUUUUCCAUUUUCAUUUUCAAGAACAUAUAUGAUUGUGUUUGUAUACAUUAUUUCGUUAUUUUUAAUAUAAAAUUGCAAGUGUUUUCUUUUGUA
rnacentral:lncRNA from 1 species